CUCUCUCUCUAUAUAUCCAAACUCAAACAGCUCUCUCUCCCUCAUUCCUCUCUCUCUCUCUCUUCUCUACCGACCUAAAAGCCCUAACUUUGUUCGAAAUUUCAAACUGAAUUUGAGGAAUUGCUUUAGGUUUUGUAGAAACAGAGAGAGAGAGAGCAGCGACCCAAUUCCAUUUCCGUUUGAGAUCAACGCUCGGAUCGAUCGAUUGAAGAGAACGAUGAGAGACCCAAUUCAAUUUCUGGUAAAUUCUCUUUUUUCUUGAAUCGUAAUUUGAUUCUAUGAUAUGUUGCCUUGCCUUGGAUUUUAUUAGUUGCCUUUGAGUAAUAAUAUUUAGCCUUCGAUUUAUGAGUUGCCUUGUUUUGGACAAAAUAGACCAUUUCUCAUCGUUCACGUAAUAUGGUUCUCGGUUUUAUAAUUGAGUUGUGUUUUUUGUAUUGAGAAAAUAAUUACAUCUACGCUUUUACAAACAUAAAGACAUCUGGUUGAAAAUUUUGUAAUAAAAUGUUCAAAUGUUAUAAUUACUAGAUCUGGACCAAAAUUACAGAUUUAUGACCCCUUUUAUAAAAUUGAGGACGAAUGUGUUGUCGAGAUGGUAAAUUUUCAGAUUUAGACCGAAUAGACCAUUUGUCCUCGUUCAUGUAAUAUAGUUCUCGGUUUUGUGAUUGAGUGGUGUAUUUUGUAUUAAGAAAAUAAUAACAUUUUUCACAACACUUUUACAAACAUAAAGACAUUAGAUUGAAAUUUUUGUAAUAAAUGUUCAUAUGUUUUAAUUACGAGGUAUAAACCAGAUUUACAAAUUUAUGACCCGUUUUACAAAAUUGAAGACGAAUAUAUUGUCGAAAUUGUAAAUUUUCAGAUUUGGACUAAAUAGAUCAUUUGUUCUCGUUUAUGUCGUUUAUGUAAUCUGGUUCUCGGUUUUGUAAUUGGGUGUUGUUUUUUGUAUUGAGAAAAUAAUUACAUUUUUUCAUAACGCUUUACAAAAAUAAGGACAUUUGGUUGAAACUUUUGUAAUAAAUGUCUAUAUGCUGUAAUUACGAAGACUUAGCAAAAUUUACGUGUUCUGCACGAAUUUAUUUAUAUUUGUGUAAUUGUGUUGUUAAGUUUGUAAAAUAAAAAAAAAAUGAAGAUGCCACAUGUCAGAAUCUAAAUGGGUAAAUAAAAAGAAAAAAAUAUAUUAAGUAUUGGUGGGUAUGCUAGCCUGUCUCAUAAGCUUUCAUCAUCCUCUGCCAAAUCUUCACCUAAUAAAAUUGGUUUUUUGCCAAAUGGCGUAUUUUUUUUUUUGAUAGAAUAUCUCGAAGAGAAUUAUUUAAUGAUUCAAAACAAUAUUUUUUACACAUCGGAGCUUCGUCCCAAAUGAUUAAAUCUGUCUUUUUAAGAAGUUCUGCGAGUUGUGUUCCUUUGCUUAUUGGACAUAUUGUAUCAUCAGUAACUUUAAAUGGUAUUUUAAAACGGGAAUGUGCAGUUCUACUGUUUGGAAGUAAUAACGAUGUAAUCCAGAGGAAGCACCGAUUAAAACUAUUUUUUCUUCAGAUCUUAUUUUGCUAGUUAUUGCAUGCCAUAAAAAUGUUUUUCCAGUUCCACCACUGCCAUAAACAAAAACAGUUCCAGAUCUUUUUUCUUCAGGAUAUGGAUCUUGUCCUUGGCUCAGUCAAAUCCUUGUUUAUCCUUAACUUUUCGUGUCGGUCAUCCGUUGCAAAUCGUAAGGUUAAUAACAAGCCACAUCAGCAGUUCAGUAAUAAUUACACAAACUUUGGGUUUCCAACACUAACAUCCGUCAUUUUUCUUACUUUACCGUCAAUGUUGUGCACGUCCUUUCAUCUUCUUCUCUUUAUCUUAGACUUUGUUGUUUCCGAAGACGGUUGGGCACUUCAGCAUAAUCAGCUUCAAUUCAUCAUCUUAUUCUUGAGUUGUGAGGUUUGUCAUUUUCAUUGUUCCAUUUUAUUAUGUAGAUUUCAAAAUCAGCUGUACAUCAGUUCCAAUUUGGAAUUCUUGAUCAUGCCAAGAAUCUUGAGUUCAAUUUACCAAGUUAUUUUGCCGCAAAACUUCUCUGCAAGAAGUCUGAUAAAAUUUUGGAUCUAUAUAAAAAUUGAAUCUUGCUAAUUUUUAAUCUGGCCAUGAAAUCAACUGAAUUCCACAGGUCGACCGAGAAGGCAUUAAAAAAAAAAAUACAGAUCUGAAAAAGCCACUAAUCGCCCCACAAUUGAUGGUUUCAAAAUAAAAAUAAAACAUUAAGCUUGACAAGUGAAGAAGAAUGAAGAAGAGGACGCUCUCCUUACCUGGAUAUUGGGAGGAUAUAGGUUGGAGAUGAAACGAUCUGGAAAGUCUUAUUGAUUUGGUAUGGAACAAAAAUAAACGUAGUAUGGCUUUGAUCUGGAACUGGAGUAAAGAAAAAAUGUAACGGAGGUUCUCCAUUGUGUUGCCUAAAUUUAUUUUUAGUGUAAUUAAUUAUUAUUUACUGAGCUGGACGCACUAGUCACCAUUGGAUCGCGAAUGGACGGCUGACAGAAAAAGCCAAGGAUAAACAAGGAUUUAACUGAGCCAAGGAGAGGAUCCAUAUCCUUUUCUUCAACUAUUUUCAUAACAUAAUUUUACACUAUUUUUUGACACAAUUAAUUUGG
rnacentral:lncRNA from 1 species